rnacentral:misc_RNA from 1 species
AAGUCGUAACAAGGUUUCCGUAGGUGAACCUGCGGAAGGAUCAUUACACGAUUUCGGUUAACACCGUUUUCACCCUUUGUUUAUACGUACCACAUGUUUCCUCGGGGGGCUUGCCCCCCGUUAGGACACCCCAUAAACCUUUUUGUAAUAGCAGUUAGCGUCUGAAAAAUAAGUUAAUUAUUAAAACUUUCAACAACGGAUCUCUUGGUUCUG